ensembl:lncRNA
AGCAAAGCCACAGGGACAGAGCCGCCCAAGGCCAUGUGAACUGACCUCCUACAUCAGCAUAACCUGGAUGUGAGACACGGAGUCAAAGGAUACCAUUUUGGAGCUUUAAAAUUUGACUGCCCCACUGGAUUUUGGACUUGCGUGGGCCCUUGUAACCUCAUUAUUUUGGCCAAUUUCUCCCAUGUGGAAUGACUAUUUACCUAAUAUCUGUACCCCAUUGUAUGUAGGAAGUAACUAGCUUGCUUUUAAUUUUAUAGGCUCAUAGGUGGAAGGGGCAUGCCUUGUCUCAGAUGAGACUUUGGACUGUGGACUUUUGAGUUAAUGCUGAAAUGAGUUAAGACUUUGGGGGACUGUUGGGAAGGCAUGAUUGGUACUGAUAUGUGAGGACAUGAGAUUUGGAGGGACCAGGGGUUGGAUGAUAUAGUUUGGCUGUGUCCUCACCCAAAUCUCAACUAGAAUUGUUUCUCCCAGGAUUCCCACAUGUUGUGGGAGGGACCCAGGGUGAGGUAAUUGAAUCAUGGGGGCUGGUCUUUUCUGUGAUAUUUUCGUGGUAGUGAAUUAAGUCUCAUGAGAUCUGAUGGGUUUAUCAGGGUUUCCACUUUUGUUUUUUUUUUUCUUACUGCUGCCAUGCAAGAAGUGCCUUUCCUCUCCUGCCAUGAUUAUGAAGUCUCCCCGGCCAUGUGAAACUGUGAGCCCGAUUAAACUUCUUACUCUUCCCAGUCUCAGAUUCCUUCAGUUAGAGUGCCUCUGAAAGAUAUGGUGUAUUCCAGCUGGCAUUGAGACAACCUAAAGUUUAAACCGUUGGGUGAUAAAGGUAAAACAAGUGGAAGAAGUUCAAUUUAUAUGGCAGUUUCGUAGGUUGAUUUGUUCAUUCAUUUAUUGAUUCAUCCGUUCAUCAAAUAUAUUGAGUACACCCAUGUACCAAGUAAUAUGCUUUGAUCUAAAUAGAGCUCAUAUCAAUGUGUUCUCCUUUUAAACAUUUCUGACAUGUGUCAAGCUGUUAGAUAGAAAUAGAUAACUUAAACAGACAUCUUUGUGGUAACCACUAAACUUUAUCAUUUUUCAAUAUUUGAUUCAGAAAUGUGUAAAAAGAAAUAAAAUAUUGGAGUUUACCUUUCCUGUUCCUAUUGCCUUCACUUAUUCCCGUGAGGCAAUUGACACCCUUCAAUGAUAUAUUUUCAUCCAUUUUCUACAUAUGCAUGUAUCUAUACCAAAGUAUAAGAUUGAUUUGCAUGUUUUAAAAUUCCAAAUACAUUGCAUAUCAGUAGUAAUAUUCUAACUGUGUCAUUCUGCAACCUGAUUUUUUUUUUUGCUCAAAAAUGUUUUUGAGCUUAAAUCCAUAUUUAUACAAGUAACUUUACUUCUUGCAUUUAAAUUUCUAUACACUUUUCUAUUAUUUGAAUAUUCCACAGUUUCCCUGUUGAUAUGGUUUGGAUCUAUGUCUUCACCAAAUCUUAUGUCAAAUUGUAAUCACCAGUGUUGGAGGUGGGGACUAGUGGGAGGCGACAGGAUCAUGGAGGCAGAUUUUUCAUGAAUGGCUUGGUACCAUCCCUCUUGGUACUGUCCUCGUGAUUGUGAGUGAGUUUUUGAGAGAUCUUGCUAUUUAAAAGUGUGUAGCACCUCCUCCACCACUCUCUCUCUUGUUCCUGCCCCUGCCAUGUAAGAUGUGCCUGCUUUUCAUUCACCUUCCACGAUGACUGUACAUUUCCUGAAGCCUCCCAGAAGGAGAGAAGAUGCCAGCAUCAUGCUUCCUAUACAGCCUGAAGAAUAGUAAGCCAGUUAAACCUCUUUUCAUUAUAAAUUACCCAAUCUCUGAUAUUCUUUAUAGCAAUUCAAGAAUGGGCUAACACACCUAUUCUCUUGCUGAUGUAUAUUAGAGUCUGUCUGUUU